AGAGGAGUGAGGGGUUGGUGUCCUACAUUGUGUACCCCAGCCCUUGGAAUAUGUUCUGGAAAGACGAGACCCCAGAAAGCUGGAGAAAACAAGACUGAUGUUCGGGGAUCACAGAAUGCUUUAGGAGGCUGAGAUUAUAUGUAAAGAAGAUUCAUUUGCUAAUCCAGAAACAUUGGCUGAAGGAGCAGGAACUAAUUUGGAGUGGAAUUACCAUAAUUGCAAGGGUAGCAGUGUUGCUGAAAUUGUUUUAAGGUACUGGACUUGUUGCUGUAUAUGAAACAUAUUUUCUCCAUGACUGUCAAGGACAUUGGAGGGACGCUGUUGACAGAACAUGUUAGUCUAUAAAAAACAUGGAGAGGAAGGUGUUCAAACAACCAAAUCUCUAAAUCUUCUGACAAGCUAUGAAAACCGUGUAUUGGAUAGACUACAAGCAAGUUGAGGACAAGAGCUGUAUGUGAUUCAUCUUUGUUUACGGAACACCUAACACAGUGUCCGCAUAUGCUGUUUUCAAAGAUGUUUAUUAAACCAAGUAGCAAUGA